rnacentral:rRNA from 1 species
UGAUGGAGCACGCCGCGUGUGUGAUGAAGGCUUUCGGGUCGUAAAGCACUGUUGUAUGGGAAGAACAGCUUGAAUAGGAAAUGAUUUUAGUUUGACGGUACCAUACCAGAAAGGGACGGCUAAAUACGUGCCAGCAGCCGCGGUAAUACGUAUGUCCCGAGCGUUAUCCGGAUUUAUUGGGCGUAAAGCGAGCGCAGACGGUUUUUUAAGUCUGAUGUGAAAGCCCGGAGCUCAACUCCGGAAUGGCAUUGGAAACUGGUUAACUUGAGUGCAGAAGAGGUAAGUGGAACUCCAUGUGUAGCGGUGGAAUGCGUAGAUAUAUGGAAGAACACCAGUGGCGAAGGCGGCUUACUGGACUGCAACUGACGUUGAGGCUCGAAAGUGUGGGUAGCAAACAGGAUUAGAUACCNNGGUAGUCNNNGAUCAAGCCNNCNUCGCCACUGNUGUUCGUCCAUAUAU